rnacentral:rRNA from 1 species
AGCCAUGCAUGUCUAAGUAUAAGCAAUUAUACCGCGAAACUGCGAAUGGCUCAUUAAAUCAGUUAUCGUCUAUUUGAUAGUACCUUACUACUUGGAUAACCGUGGUAAUUCUAGAGCUAAUACAUGCUGAAAACCCCGACUUCGGAAGGGAUGUAUUUAUUAGAUUAAAAGCCAACGCCCCCCGGGGCUCCCUGGUGAUUCAUGAUAACUGCUCGAAUCGCACGGCCUUGCGCCGGCGAUGGUUCAUUCAAAUUUCUGCCCUAUCAACUUUCGACGGCUGGGUCUUGGCCAGCCGUGGUGACAACGGGUAACGGAGGGUUAGGGCUCGACCCCGGAGAAGGAGCCUGAGAAACGGCUACUACAUCCAAGGAAGGCAGCAGGCGCGCAAAUUACCCAAUCCCGACGCGGGGAGGUAGUGACAAUAAAUACUGAUACAGGGCUCUUUUGGGUCUUGUAAUUGGAAUGAGUACAAUUUAAUUCCCUUAACGAGGAACAAUUGGAGGGCAAGUCUGGUGCCAGCAGCCGCGGUAAUUCCAGCUCCAAUAGCGUAUAUUAAAGUUGUUGCAGUUAAAAAGCUCGUAGUUGAACCUUGGGCCUGGCUGGCCGGUCCGCCUCACCGCGUGCACUGGUCCGGCCGGGCCUUUCCCUCUGGGGAGCCGCAUGCCCUUCGCUGGGCGUGCCGGGGAACCAGGACGUUUACUUUGAAAAAAUUAGAGUGUUCAAAGCAGGCUUAUGCUCGGAUACAUUAGCAUGGAAUAAUGGAAUAGGACGCGUGGUUCUAUUUUGUUGGUUUCUAGGACCGCCGUAAUGAUUAAUAGGGACAGUCGGGGGCAUCAGUAUUCAGUUGCGAGAGGUGAAAUUCUUGGACCAACUGAAGACUAACUACUGCGAAAGCAUUUGCCAAGGAUGUUUUCAUUAAUCAGGAACGAAAGUUAGGGGAUCGAAGACGAUCAGAUACCGUCGUAGUCUUAACCAUAAACUAUGCCGACUAGGGAUCGGGCGGUGUUAUCUUUUGACCCGCUCGGCACCUUGCACGAAAGUACAAGUUUCUGGGUUCUGGGGGGAGUAUGGUCGC